rnacentral:rRNA from 1 species
UUGGUGACCAGCGGAGGGAUCAUUACCGAGUUUACAACUCCCAAACCCAAUGUGAACGUUACCAAACUGUUGCCUCGGCGGGAUCUCUGCCCCGGGUGCGUCGCAGCCCCGGACCAAGGCGCCCGCCGGAGGACCAACCAAAACUCUUAUUGUAUACCCCCUCGCGGGUUUUUUUAUAAUCUGAGCCUUCUCGGCGCCUCUCGUAGGCGUUUCGAAAAUGAAUCAAAACUUUCAACAACGGAUCUCUUGGUUCUGGCAUCGAUGAAGAACGCAGCGAAAUGCGAUAAGUAAUGUGAAUUGCAGAAUUCAGUGAAUCAUCGAAUCUUUGAACGCACAUUGCGCCCGCCAGUAUUCUGGCGGGCAUGCCUGUCCGAGCGUCAUUUCAACCCUCGAACCCCUCCGGGGGGUCGGCGUUGGGGAUCGGCCCUCCCUUAGCGGGUGGCCGUCUCCGAAAUACAGUGGCGGUCUCGCCGCAGCCUCUCCUGCGCAGUAGUUUGCACACUCGCAUCGGGAGCGCGGCGCGUCCACAGCCGUUAAACACCCAACUUCUGAAAUGUUGACCUCGGAUCAGGUAGGAAUACCCGCUGAACUUAAGCAUAUCAA